rnacentral:rRNA from 1 species
ACGGAAGGCAGCAGUAGGGGAUAUUGGGCAAUGGAGGCAACUCUGACCCAGCCAUGCCGCGUGAAGGAAGACGGUCCUAUGGAUUGUAAACUUCUUUUGCCGCAGAGUAACCGCGGGGACGCGUCCCCGCCUGAGAGUAUGCGGCGAAUAAGUAUCGGCUAACUCCGUGCCAGCAGCCGCGGUAAUACGGAGGAUACGAGCGUUAUCCGGAUUUAUUGGGUUUAAAGGGUGCGCAGGCGGAUCGGUAAGUCAUUGGUGAAAAGUUGGGGCUCAACUCCAAUCGUGCCUAUGAUACUGCCGGACUAGAGUGCAAGCGACGUAACUGGAAUGUGGUGUGUAGCGGUGAAAUGCUUAGAUAUGCCACAGAACACCGAUCGAGAAGUCAGGUCACGAGCUCGCAACUGACGCUCAGGCACGAAAGCGUGGGGAUCAAACAGGAUUAGAUACCCUGGUA